GGCGACGUUUUUGACGUCUCCGGCGAUUUGGCAUCCCAACCCAUCGCUCCAAAAGACGCAGCCCUCAUGCAAACUAAAGAGAACCAAAUAUUAGGCAAAAAUCUAAAGGGAGGCCCCGCCUCCGUCAUGCAAUCCGCGGCCGCCGUCAACGUCCUCCACGGCGACGUCGGUCAUGGCGAACUCUCCGCCGUGGCAAGGGAGCAAGGCGUUAGCGUCUCCGAAGGCAAACUGGAUGGCCAACGCGUCAUCACCGAGUCGGUAGGAAGACACGUGGUGGGGCAGUUCUUUGAGCCCGAGAUUCCGAUGAAAACCCCGGCCACCGCGCUGGAGCGAGAUGCCAUAACCAUCGGCGAGGCGCUGGAAGCGACUGCGGUGGCCGGAGCGGGCGACAAGCCGGUGGAUGAAAGCGACGCCGCCGCAAUACAAGUAGCCGAAAUGAGAGCCACAGGGAAGAACGAGACAGAGAGUGGGGGGUUGGGCGCCCGGGCCCAGUCAGCAGCCACACAUAACACACGCACUUUGCCUCUGUCCGAAAAGACAACCUUGUCUGAUGUCUUAACAGUAAUUAACCUGUCUUACCUCUUGUUUUUCACCAAGAAUGAGAAAUUAACUGUUACUGUGAAUGUAGGAUGCGAGGGAAAAACUGCAAGCUGAUAAGGCGGUGACGCGAGAAGAUGCAGAGGGAGUGAUUGGAGCUGAGCUGAGGAACAAGUUGGACAUGAAAACUACCCCUGGUGGGGUCGCUGCGUCCAUGGCUGCAGCAGCCACAAUUAAUCAAAAGAGUUAAGUUUCUUAAAUACUAGGUAGUAUCUCUUUUUACGUUGUAUGAGAAUAUUAUUGUAGAUUUUCAUGCUUGUGUGAAACGUGCAGGGAAAUAAGGGAUGAUACAUGAAGAUCUUACAUAUAUGGCAGAGCUUAAGCAAAUAAAUCAAGUCACUCUGAGUUUGACUUGGAACACUACGCUACUUCUACUUCUAAAACUUUUUAGUUUGAACACUUUUUUUGUAUGUUUCACACUCUUUGUUACUUUGUGUACUCGGAUCCUCCUACUUUAAUGGUAGUGUUGUUUCUUUUUUUUUCUACAAGAAAGAUAGAUUCAUUGCUUUCCAUGGGAAAGGGAAGGGAAUUUUGGGCUGAAUAGGCCCAUAGCUAACUUCUAUGAUAAAGACCGAAACCCUAUAUGUAGGUGGGCUG
rnacentral:lncRNA from 1 species